rnacentral:misc_RNA from 1 species
AACACUGUUAACCUGCGGUACCUGCGGAAGGAUCAUUACAAAUCCAAAACAUACUUUGUUGAACAAAAAAAGGCUUUCAGCAUGCCCUUUUGCCUUGCUGCACAGUUGACUUGAUAUACUGCCGCUAGAUGAGCUUUAGCGAAGGUAGAUGAGUGUCAGCUUAACUCUUUUCCCACCCUUGGGGGUAAUAGGGUGGGAAAGUUUAAGCUAAUCUUGUAUCUGCUAACGUUACUUCUCAUG